rnacentral:rRNA from 1 species
GAUCAUGGCUCAGGACGAACGCUGGCGGCGUGCCUAACACAUGCAAGUCGAACGGAACUUCUUUAAUUGAUUUCUUCGGAAUGAUUUUGAUUAAGUUUAGUGGCGGACGGGUGAGUAACGCGUGAGUAACCUGCCUCUAAGAGGGGAAUAACAUUCCGAAAAGAAUGCUAAUACCGCAUAAUAUAUAUUUAUCGCAUGGUAGAUAUAUCAAAGAUUUAUCGCUUAGGGAUGGACUCGCGUCCGAUUAG